UACGUAGGGUGCAAGCGUUGUCCGGAAUUAUUGGGCGUAAAGAGCUCGUAGGCGGUCUGUCGCGUCGGAUGUGAAAACCCAGGGCUCAACCCUGGGCCUGCAUUCGAUACGGGCAGACUAGAGUUCGGUAGGGGAGACUGGAAUUCCUGGUGUAGCGGUGAAAUGCGCAGAUAUCAGGAGGAACACCGGUGGCGAAGGCGGGUCUCUGGGCCGAAACUGACGCUGAGGAGCGAAAGCGUGGGUAGCAAACAGG
rnacentral:rRNA from 1 species